rnacentral:rRNA from 1 species
AUUGAACGCUGGCGGCAGGCUUAACACAUGCAAGUCGAGCGGGGGAAGGUAGCUUGCUACCGGACCUAGCGGCGGACGGGUGAGUAAUGCUUAGGAAUCUGCCUAUUAGUGGGGGACAACAUUCCGAAAGGAAUGCUAAUACCGCAUACGUCCUACGGGAGAAAGCAGGGGAUCUUCGGACCUUGCGCUAAUAGAUGAGCCUAAGUCGGAUUAGCUAGUUGGUGGGGUAAAGGCCUACCAAGGCGACGAUCUGUAGCGGGUCUGAGAGGAUGAUCCGCCACACUGGGACUGAGACACGGCCCAGACUCCUACGGGAGGCAGCAGUGGGGAAUAUUGGACUAUGGGGGGAACCCUGAUCCAGCCAUGCCGCGUGUGUGAAGAAGGCCUUAUGGUUGUAAAGCACUUUAAGCGAGGAGGAGGCUACUGAGACUAAUACUCUUGGAUAGUGGACGUUACUCGCAGAAUAAGCACCGGCUAACUCUGUGCCAGCCGCCGCUGUAA